AAGUCGUAACAAGGUCUCCGUAGGUGAACCUGCGGAGGGAUCAUUAACACGUUUUUCAAACGUUUUUCAACCAAAAAACCGGAAACGAAAAAGUGUUGAAAAGUCAACAAUGGCAUUCAUUUGCCCUGUUUUCUUUUCCCUUUUUUUCUUCUCAACCCUUUUCCAAUCAUAACAAUGAAUUGACCUGUACUGUCAUUCCUCUUCACUGAGUGAUGAAAGUUGAUAUCAUAAUUGAGAGCACAACUCUUAGCAACGGAUAUCUUGGUUCUC
rnacentral:misc_RNA from 1 species